rnacentral:rRNA from 1 species
ACGUAGGUCACAAGCGUUGUCCGGAAUUACUGGGUGUAAAGGGAGCGCAGGCGGGAGAACAAGUUGGAAGUGAAAUCCAUGGGCUCAACCCAUGAACUGCUUUCAAAACUGUUUUUCUUGAGUAGUGCAGAGGUAGGCGGAAUUCCCGGUGUAGCGGUGGAAUGCGUAGAUAUCGGGAGGAACACCAGUGGCGAAGGCGGCCUACUGGGCACCAACUGACGCUGAGACUCGAAAGUGUGGGUAGCAAACAG